rnacentral:rRNA from 1 species
UAUUGCACAAUGGGGGAAACCCUGAUGCAGCAACGCCGCGUGAAGGAAGACGGUUUUCGGAUUGUAAACUUCUUUUCUUAGUGAAGAAGAAAGUGACGGUAGCUAAGGAAUAAGCAUCGGCUAACUACGUGCCAGCAGCCGCGGUAAUACGUAGGAUGCGAGCGUUAUCCGGAAUUACUGGGUGUAAAGGGAGCGCAGGCGGGACUGCAAGUUGGAUGUGAAAUGCCGCAGCUUAACUGCGGAGCUGCAUCCAAAACUGUAGUUCUUGAGUGGAGUAGAGGCAAGCGGAAUUCCGAGUGUAGCGGUGAAAUGCGUAGAUACUCGGAGGAACACCAGUGGCGAAGGCGGCUUGCUGGGCUCUAACUGACGCUGAGGCUCGAAAGUGUGGGGAGCAAACAGGA